rnacentral:rRNA from 1 species
AGCGAACGCUGGCGGCAGGCCUAACACAUGCAAGUCGAACGAACCCUUCGGGGUUAGUGGCGGACGGGUGAGUAACACGUGGGAACGUGCCUUUAGGUUCGGAAUAACUCAGGGAAACUUGUGCUAAUACCGAAUGUGCCCUUCGGGGGAAAGAUUUAUCGCCUUUAGAGCGGCCCGCGUCUGAUUAGCUAGUUGGUGAGGUAAUGGCUCACCAAGGCUACGAUCAGUAGCUAGUCUGAGAGGAUGACCAGCCACAUUGGGACUGAGACACGGCCCAAACUCCUACGGGAGGCAGCAGUGGGGAAUCUUGCGCAAUGGGCGAAAGCCUGACGCAGCCAUGCCGCGUGGAUGAUGAAGGUCUUAGGAUUGUAAAAUCCUUUCACCGGUGAAGAUAAUGACUGUAGCCGGAGAAGAAGCCCCGGCUGACUUCGUGCCAGCCGCCGCGGUAAGAC